GACGAACGCUGGCGGCGUGCUUAACACAUGCAAGUCGAACGGAAAGGCCUGCUUUCCCUUGUGGAUUGCGGGUACUCGAGUGGCGAACGGGUGAGUAACACGUGAGUGAUCUGCCCCCAACUUGGGUAUAAGCCUGGGAAACUGGGUCUAAUUCCCGAUAGGACUGCAGGGUGGUGCCUGUGGUGGAAAACGAUUUUCUAGUGGUUGGGGAUGAGCUCGCGGCGUAUCAGCUUGUUGGUGGGGUAAUGGCCUACCAGGGCGGCGACGGAUAGCCGGUCUGGGGGAAUGAGCAGCCACGCAGGCACCUAGGCGAGGCAGAGACGCGUACGGGAGGACGCAGUGGGGAAUCCUGGAGCAGGGAGGCAGCGCUGAUGAUGCCAGGCUGCGUGUGUUAUGCACCUUUUGACGUUGAGAAGCCCACUUAGCUGGAAGGGUGAUGACGGUAGUGGUAGAAGAAGCACCGGCUAACUACGUG
rnacentral:rRNA from 1 species